CGGGGGUGAAGGGAGUUCGAGCGCCGUUGUAUUAUGUUGCACGAAAGUGCUUUAAACCCUAAACCCAACUCUUAACACAUGAGUUUUUCCUUUGUGAUUGAAGGUAAUUUUUCCGGUAUUUAUACCUUAAAAAGAAAUACCGAUGCCCUGCGAUGGUGCUCGAAAGUUGUUUGUCCAAUUUCACGAAGGCUGGCAGGGGGUAAAAGCUGCAGGUAGUUCGAGAGGCUACUUAGCGGUGAGCCGAUAUUCCUCGCCUUCGUAGUAGCCCCAUUUUUU
rnacentral:telomerase_RNA from 1 species